rnacentral:rRNA from 1 species
UACGAACUGUGCAAACGUUAUUCGGAAUCACUGGGCUUAAUGGGUGCGUAGGCGGCUUGUUAAGUAGGGUGUGAAAUCCCCCGGCUCAACCGGGGAAUUGCGCCCUAAACUGGCGAGCUGGAGUGAGAUAGGGGUGUGUGGAACUUCCAGUGGAGCGGUGAAAUGUGUUGAUAUUGGAAGGAACGCCAGUGGCGAAAGCGACACACUGGGUCUCAACUGACGCUGAGGCACGAAAGCCAGGGGAGCAAACGGG